ACCCUUUAAUGUUUGAUGUUCUAACGUGGACCCGUAAUCCGGGUUGCGGACAGUGUCUGGUGGGUAGUUUGACUGGGGCGGUCUCCUCCUAAAGAGUAACGGAGGAGCACGAAGGUUGGCUAAUCCUGGUCGGACAUCAGGAGGUUAGUGCAAUGGCAUAAGCCAGCUUGACUGCGAGCGUGACGGCGCGAGCAGGUGCGAAAGCAGGUCAUAGUGAUCCGGUGGUUCUGAAUGGAAGGGCCAUCGCUCAACGGAUAAAAGGUACUCCGGGGAUAACAGGCUGAUACCGCCCAAGAGUUCAUAUCGACGGCGGUGUUUGGCACCUCGAUGUCGGCUCAUCACAUCCUGGGGCUGAAGUAGGUCCCAAGGGUAUGGCUGUUCGCCAUUUAAAGUGGUACGCGAGCUGGGUUUAGAACGUCGUGAGACAGUUCGGUCCCUAUCUGCCGUGGGCGCUGGAGAACUGAGGGGGGCUGCUCCUAGUACGAGAGGACCGGAGUGGACGCAUCACUGGUGUUCGGGUUGUCAUGCCAAUGGCACUGCCCGGUAGCUAAAUGCGGAAGAGAUAAGUGCUGAAAGCAUCUAAGCACGAAACUUGCCCCGAG
rnacentral:rRNA from 6 species